UAUGAAUAUCAAAUGGAUGUUUCGUGCGUAUAAAUGAGAGAAGUUUUCGGGUUUUGCUUCUCGGUCGCAAAUUUCAAACAAUCAAAAUAAAUAUUUAAACAUAAUCGGACCCACAAUUAGCCAGAGACCUUAAAAAUGCCCCCCGCACCCCCUUCAUUGCCUAUCUCUUUUGGCCAGUUUGUGGUAAAAAUAAAUUAGUUCCCGGUGCCCCCGCGCUGCCACGUUUCGCCACUGCUGCAAUUGGCCUUCAUUUGCGAAUGAGCAAAUAAGUGAGUUAACUGUAAUUUCGGGCUAGUAAUCAUUAAUAAUUUACGGCCAAUAGGCCCACCAGCCCAGUCCCACACAGCCAACUGCCAGCCCAAGAGGCAGCUGAAGCUCGAGUGGGCGACUGGAGGCUGGAGACUGGAGGCUGCGGCUGUUGCCAACCACUUGACGUUCCGUAAAGCAAAUUUUAAAUAGCACAAAUACUUGAGCUCUUCGUUGUUCGUUCCGAGUUCUGAGUUGUUGGCUCUGCGUUGUUCCUUGCUCGUGUUGUGCCAGUUUUUUGUUUGACCGACAACAAUUGACUGUGGCCCACUGGCUGGCGCUCGUUUUAAACCCGUUGAGCCACCUGCCAGAACACAGGGGCAGCCUGUUGGGUUGAGCUUGCAAAUGAAAAGUAAAUAAUUCAACGCAAAAAAGUUUAAGGGUUCUGUAUGUUCCCUGUUGAUCUUUCAAUUUGCGCAAAGAAAUCGUCUGAAAUCGUGGCAGCAAUCAGCAAAAGUGGGCGGGAAAAGUGGCAAUAAAUCAAGCUUAAAUUGGGUGGAAAAGUGAAAUUGAAUCAAAUUAAAAUUGUGCGAAAAAAGGAAUUAAAUGAAGCUCAAAUUGAGUGAAAAGUAUAAUUAAAUUCAACCAAAAUUUGAUGAAAACUAUAAAUAUAAUAAACUAAUACUGGCCGAAAAGUGGAAUUAAAUCAAGGUAAAAUGGCUAAAAAGUGAAACCAAAUUGAACUAAAAUUUAUACAAUACAUACAAUUUGGUAAAAAGCGACAAAUAAGCUAAAAUUCGACAAGAAAAUAAAAUAAAAUCAAGCUUAAAUUGGCAAAAAAAGUGAAAUUAAAUCAAGCUAAUAUCGAGAGAAAAUAAAUCAGUAUAAAAAACGGAAAUUAAAUCAAGCUAAAAUUGUGUGCAGCUUUUCAAGUUUUUUUGAACAUAAUCUGCAGUCAGUUUUGCUUCAAAAUGAAUGAGUAAAUGCAUCAACUGCAACAAUCUCUACUGCCUAUUUGUUGUUUAUUUAGCAUACUAAUAGCCCGUGUGGUAUUGCCUAAUAUAAUCAGCAGACUUGCGGUGCUCCACUUUUGCUGUGACAUUGUUUUCCCUGCGUGCCAGUUCAUACGUUUUCACAGUAUUUUUCUGCCUGUGGCAUUACUCACAUUCACGUUCAUUUUGCAGGCGUACGUGCUAAUGCCGGCAUAUUGAUAGAAAUCCUGUAAAUAUCCUGUCAACACCCCCACCAACGAACGAAGGAAAGAAACGAAGGAGCAGACAAGCAGCACCACAGCACCUCGGUGUGUGUCGAACGCUAAUAGCGACAGCUGCACGUCGCCAGUGAUAACAGGACACAGGAGACAACGUUAAAGUAUCCACUUUGAGAUUUACUUUUAAAGAUUCCCGCACCGACAACUCCAACUUCACUUCACUUCCGGGUGGGCCAUUCUGCGGCUUAAGAAUAUAAAAUUAUGACAGCUUGUGGCAUUCAUCUCGGAACUGUAGAGAUUCUCAGGUUCGUAGGGUUCCUGCUGCCGAAAUUCUCUGUGUUCUAUUCUGGUCAUAAACUUUUCAGUGCCUUCAAUCAAGAUGAAUUUGUGCCAGUAAGUCCCUCCAGAUAAUGUUAACAUUUGCGGCAUAAGGUCAAAGGACAUAUGCAUCGGCACCAGCAAUAAAAUGCC
rnacentral:lncRNA from 1 species